rnacentral:rRNA from 1 species
GACGAACGCUGGCGGCGUGCUUAACACAUGCAAGUCGAACGGAAAGGCCCUGCUUUUGUGGGGUGCUCGAGUGGCGAACGGGUGAGUAACAAGUGAGUAACCUGCCCUUGACUUUGGGAUAACUUCAGGAAACUGGGGCUAAUACUGGAUAGGAGCUCCUGCUGCAUGGUGGGGGUUGGAAAGUUUCGGCGGGUGGGGCUGGACUCGCGGCUUAUCAGCUUGUUGGUGGGGUAGUGGCUUACCAAGGCUUUGACGGGUAGCCGGCCUGAGAGGGUGACCGGCCACAUUGGGACUGAGGUACGGCCCAGACUCCUACGGGAGGCAGCAGUGGGGAAUAUUGCACAGUGGGCGGAAGCCUGAUGCAGCAACGCCGCGUGCGGGAUGACGGCCUUCGGGUUGUAAACCGCUUUCGCCUGUGACGAAGCGUGAGUGACGGUAAUGGGUAAAGAAGCACCGGCUAACUACGUG